AGUGAACGCUGGCGGCGUGCUUAACACAUGCAAGUCGAACGAGAACGGAUUAUAGCUUGCUAUAAUUGUCAGCUAAGUGGCGCACGGGUGAGUAAUAUAUAGAUAACCUGCCCUCUAGAAAGGAAUAACAGUUGGAAACGACUGCUAAUGCCCUAUAUGCCUUUAAUACAUAAGUAUGCAAGGGAAACGCUUUAGUGCUAGAGGAUGGGUCUGUAUGGUAUCAGCUUGUUGGUGAGGUAAUGGCUCACCAAGGCUAUGACGCCUAACUGGUUUGAGAGGAUGAUCAGUCACACUGGAACUGAGACACGGUCCAGACUCCUACGGGAGGCAGCAGUGGGGAAUAUUGCACAAUGGACGAAAGUCUGAUGCAGCAACGCCGCGUGGAGGAUGACACAUUUCGGUGCGUAAACUCCUUUUAUAUAGGAAGAUAAUGACGGUACUAUAUGAAUAAGCACCGGCUAACUCCGUGCCAGCAGCCGCCGUAAUAC
rnacentral:rRNA from 1 species